rnacentral:rRNA from 1 species
AUUGAACGCUAGCGGCAGGCCUAACACAUGCAAGUCGAACGAGUAGCGGACGGGUGAGGAAUGUCUGGGAAACUGCCCGAUGGAGGGGGAUAACUACUGGAAACGAUAGCUAAUACCGCAUACCCUCGGAUGUGCCCAGUUGGGAUUUGCUAGUAGGUGGGGUAACGGCGCACCUAGGCGACUAUCCCUAGCUGGUCUAAGAGUCUGAUCAGCCACACUGGAACUGAGACACGGUCCAGACUCCUACGGGAGGCAGCAGUGGGGAAUAUUGCAAAAUGGGCGCAAGCCGGAUGCAGCCAUGCCGCGUGUAUGAAGAAGGCUCUCGGGUUUUAAAGUACUUUCAGCGAGGAGGCGUUACUCGAAGAAGAAGCACCGGCUAACUCCGUGCCAGCAGCCGCGGUAAGAC